UACAGAGGUCCCAAGCGUUGUUCGGAUUCACUGGGCGUAAAGGGUGCGUAGGCGGUCGGGUAAGUCUGAUGUGAAAUCUCACAGCUUAACUGUGAAACUGCAUUGGAUACUAUCCGGCUAGAGGAAUGGGGGGGAGACUGGAAUACUUGGUGUAGCAGUGAAAUGCGUAGAUAUCAAGUGGAACACCAGUGGCGAAGGCGAGUCUCUGGACAUUUCCUGACGCUGAGGCACGAAAGCCAGGGGAGCAAACGGG
rnacentral:rRNA from 1 species